rnacentral:rRNA from 2 species
CUAUACAUGCAGUCGACGCGUUGGCCCAAUUGAUUGAUGGUGCUUGCACCUGAUUGAUUUUGGUCGCCAACGAGUGGCGGACGGGUGAGUAACACGUAGGUAACCUGCCCAGAAGCGGGGGACAACAUUUGGAAACAGAUGCUAAUACCGCAUAACAGCGUUGUUCGCAUGAACAACGCUUAAAAGAUGGCUUCUCGCUAUCACUUCUGGAUGGACCUGCGGUGCAUUAGCUUGUUGGUGGGGUAACGGCCUACCAAGGCGAUGAUGCAUAGCCGAGUUGAGAGACUGAUCGGCCACAAUGGGACUGAGACACGGCCCAUACUCCUACGGGAGGCAGCAGUAGGGAAUCUUCCACAAUGGGCGCAAGCCUGAUGGAGCAACACCGCGUGAGUGAAGAAGGGUUUCGGCUCGUAAAGCUCUGUUGUUAAAGAAGAACACGUAUGAGAGUAACUGUUCAUACGUUGACGGUAUUUAACCAGAAAGUCACGGCUAACUACGUGCCAGCAGCCGCGGUAAUACGUAGGUGGCAAGCGUUAUCCGGAUUUAUUGGGCGUAAAGAGAGUGCAGGCGGUUUUCUAAGUCUGAUGUGAAAGCCUUCGGCUUAACCGGAGAAGUGCAUCGGAAACUGGAUAACUUGAGUGCAGAAGAGGGUAGUGGAACUCCAUGUGUAGCGGUGGAAUGCGUAGAUAUAUGGAAGAACACCAGUGGCGAAGGCGGCUACCUGGUCUGCAACUGACGCUGAGACUCGAAAGCAUGGGUAGCGAACAGGAUUAGAUACCUGGUAGUCCAUGCCGUAAACGAUGAGUGCUAGGUGUUGGAGGGUUUCCGCCCUUCAGUGCCGGAGCUAACGCAUUAAGCACUCCGCCUGGGGAGUACGACCGCAAGGUUGAAACUCAAAGGAAUUGACGGGGGCCCGCACAAGCGGUGGAGCAUGUGGUUUAAUUCGAAGCUACGCGAAGAACCUUACCAGGUCUUGACAUCUUGCGCCAACCCUAGAGAUAGGGCGUUUCCUUCGGGAACGCAAUGACAGGUGGUGCAUGGUCGUCGUCAGCUCGUGUCGUGAGAUGUUGGGUUAAGUCCCGCAACGAGCGCAACCCUUGUUACUAGUUGCCAGCAUUAAGUUGGGCACUCUAGUGAGACUGCCGGUGACAAACCGGAGGAAGGUGGGGACGACGUCAGAUCAUCAUGCCCCUUAUGACCUGGGCUACACACGUGCUACAAUGGACGGUACAACGAGUCGCGAACUCGCGAGGGCAAGCAAAUCUCUUAAAACCGUUCUCAGUUCGGACUGCAGGCUGCAACUCGCCUGCACGAAGUCGGAAUCGCUAGUAAUCGCGGAUCAGCAUGCCGCGGUGAAUACGUUCCCGGGCCUUGUACACACCGCCCGUCACACCAUGAGAGUUUGUAACACCCAAAGUCGGUGGGGUAACCUUUAGGAGCCAG